rnacentral:rRNA from 1 species
ACGGCCCUAUGGAUUGUAAACUUCUUUAAUAGGUGAAUAAGGAGAGGUACGUGUACCGAUUAGAAAGUAUCCUAAGAAUAAGUAUCGGCUAACUCCGUGCCAGCAGCCGCGGUAAUACGGAGGAUCCGAGCGUUAUCCGGAUUUAUUGGGUUUAAAGGGUGCGUAGGUGGCUGAUUAAGUCAGUGGUGAAAAUUUAUGGCUCAACCAUAGUCUUGCCGUUGAUACUGGUUAUCUUGAGUGCAGAUGAUGUGGGCGGAAUGCGUGGUGUAGCGGUGAAAUGCUUAGAUAUUACGCAGAACUCCGAUUGCGAAGGCAGCUUACUGAACUGCUACUGACACUGAUGCUCGAAAGCGUGGGUAUCAAACAGGAUUAGAUACCCUGGUAGUCCACGCCGUAAACUAUGAUUACUCGCAGUAUGCGAUAUACAGUAUGCUCUCAAGCGAAAGCAUUAAGUAAUCCACCUGGGGAGUACGUCGGCAACGAUGAAACUC